rnacentral:rRNA from 1 species
GUGGGGAAUAUUGCGCAAUGGGCGAAAGCCUGACGCAGCAACGCCGCGUGGGGGAUGACGGCUUUCGGGUUGUAAACCCCUUUCAGUGAUGACGAAAAUGACGGUAAUCACAGAAGAAGCCCCGGCCAACUACGUGCCAGCAGCCGCGGUAACACGUAGGGGGCGAGCGUUGUCCGGAUUUAUUGGGCGUAAAGAGCUCGUAGGCGGUUGCGUAAGUCGGAUGUGAAAACUCAGGGCUCAACCCUGAGCCGCCAUUCGAUACUGCGCUGACUAGAGUCCGGUAGGGGAGCAUGGAAUUCCUGGUGUAGCGGUGAAAUGCGCAGAUAUCAGGAGGAACACCAGUAGCGAAGGCGGUGCUCUGGGCCGGUACUGACGCUGAGGAGCGAAAGCAUGGGUAGCAAACAGGAUUAGAUACCCUGGUAGUCC